rnacentral:rRNA from 1 species
UACGAAGGGGGCGAGCGUUGUUCGGAUUUACUGGGCGUAAAGGGCGCGCAGGCGGCUCAUUUUGUCAGGCGUGAAAGCCCCGGGCUUAACCUGGGAACUGCGUUUGAUACGGUUGGGCUAGAGUUCGGGAGAGGAGAGUGGAAUUCCCAGUGUAGAGGUGAAAUUCGUAGAUAUUGGGAAGAACACCGGUGGCGAAGGCGGCUCUCUGGACCGAGACUGACGCUGAGGAGCGAAAGCAUGGGUAGCGAACAGG